AUUCCAGCUCCAAUAGCAUAUAUUAACGUUGUUGCAGUUGAAAAGCUCGUAGUUGAACUUUUGGUAGGAGCGACCUGGCCUUGGGCGCAUGCCCUUGUUUGCUGUGUGUCGUAUCUGGCCAUCCUUUUCUUCUUCGGAAGGAAUCAUUUACUGUGAGUAAACUGGAGUGCUCAAAUCAAGACGUUUGUUUGGUACAUUAAAGCAUGGAAUAAUAAGAUAGGACCUGGUUACUAUUUUGUUGGUUUGCAUAGCUAGGUAAUGAUUAACAGGGACAGUUGGGGGUAUUCGUAUAUAAUUGUCAGAGGUGAAAUUCUUGGAUUUAUGAAAGACGAACGACUGCGAAAGCAUUUACCAAGGAUGUUUUCAUUA
rnacentral:rRNA from 1 species